AUUGAACGCUGGCGGCAUGCUUUACACAUGCAAGUCGAACGGUAACAGGCCGCAAGGUGCUGACGAGUGGCGAACGGGUGAGUAAUGCAUCGGAACGUGCCCAGUCGUGGGGGAUAACGCAGCGAAAGCUGUGCUAAUACCGCAUACGAUCUGUGGAUGAAAGCGGGGGACCGUAAGGCCCCGCGCGAUUGGAGCGGCCGAUGUCAGAUUAGGUAGUUGGUGGGGUAAAGGCUCACCAAGCCGACGAUCUGUAGCUGGUCUGAGAGGACGACCAGCCACACUGGGGCUGAGACACGGCCCAGACUCCUACGGGAGGCAGCAGUGGGGAAUUUUGGACAAUGGGCGCAAGCCUGAUCCAGCAAUGCCGCGUGCAGGAAGAAGGCCUUCGGGUUGUAAACUGCUUUUGUACGGAGCGAAAAGGCUCUCUCUAAUACAGGGGGCUCAUGACGGUACCGUAAGAAUAAGCACCGGCUAACUACGUGCCAGCCGCCGCCGUAAGAC
rnacentral:rRNA from 1 species